AUGGAUCCGCAGGAGGAUGGCUUCUUCUACUCACACCAUGGCGCGUGCCAUGCCGAUUCCAGUCAAGGGACGGAAUGUAAAGCCCAGAGUUCGGUUACCGCUCGCAAGGUUCACAAGGCUGACCGUGAGAGAAUGCGACGAGACAAAUUGAAUGAGCAGUUCCUGGAAUUGGGAACCACACUUGACCCAGAUCGGCCCAGGCAUGAUAAGGCUACUAUUCUUGGUGAUACAGUUCAGAUGCUCAAGGAUUUGACUUCUCAAGUAAACAAGCUUAAAGCUGAAUACUCUUCUCUCUUUGAAGAAGAAUGUGAGUUGACUAAAGAAAAAAAUGAGCUUCGGAGUGAAAAAGCUUCGCUGAAGUCUGAUGUGGAUAAUUUGAACAACCACUAUCAGCAACGUAUUCAAAUGUUAUACCUGUGCACUACAAUGGAGCCUUCUGUACUCGUUGGGCCACCUCCAUCAUAUCCCUUCUCGCUCCAAGUUCCUAUACCCGCUGGUGCUGUAACUAUGCAUCCACAGCUUCAGCCAUGCCCGUUCUUCCAAAAUCAAACUUCAGGAGCCAUCUCGAAUCCAUGUACUCCUUACAUGGCAUACAGUCAAUCCUGUCAUGCUCCUAGUGAUCAACCAUCUAGCCAGUUCAGUACUCCAGUUCUGCUUUCAAGUAGUAAUCGAUCUCACUCUCCUGCACAAGGCUGUAGAAGCAAGUCACCUUCACUUCAGCAAGCAAGCUGUGGAGGGAGAAAUGAUGAUUUUGGUGAUGUUGCAACUGACUUGGAACUAAAAACUCCUGGUUCCUCAGCUCCUUCACAUUCAGAGAUCACUAACAAGGAUUCCUCUUCUGACUUGAAAAUGAAGAAGCAAUGCAUAAAGUUAAUUAAUGGUAGUACUCUUAUUGAAGACAGCAGUUCAAGCAGAUGUUCUUCUAGUGCCCCCCCACACAAUUCCUCUUCUGUACUUGCCGAAGACCAGUGA
rnacentral:rRNA from 1 species